AUCCUUUUCUGGUUCAUGAGCAUGAUGAUUGAAUGGGUAUUCACACCAUUGUGUGGUAUGUGCCUCCUUUAAACCUUUUUAUGGCACAUUUCCCUUCUGAUG